CGUCGCUCCCUAGUGACGUCACGGGGCGGCGCCGCGCGGCUCUGCGUCCUCUCUCUGGACCGGGCCGGGAAAGAGGACGUGGGACCUGUUCGCGACCUGUGGGUGACCUAGGAGGGGUUUGUACCUGUGUGGCAGUGACGCCCACUACAACAUCUCUCAUUGUGACAACUAAAGCUCAAGUUCAGGAAAAACACAAGGAAACAACCACCAGGCCCCUCAGGGCUCUGCAGAAGAAACCAGAGCAGAUGGAUGGAGGAGGUGGCUUUAAUGGGGAAGGGGUCCGCUGGUUUUUACUUUCUCUUUUCUCAUGCAACUUUGCCCCACGUGGGCCUCAGCUUCUGAACUGCAGAGCAAAACACAGUUAAGCCUCUGACAAACCCUGUCUUUCUGGCCAGAGGAAUAGGGAAAGGGGCCCUGAGUCUAGAAAGAGUUUGUCCUAGAGAGCUGCAGAAAGAGACCCUGUCUUUCUAUGUAAGAACCAACAGGAGACCCCCCUCACCCCUGAGUUACCCCCACCCCACCCCAGACAGACUCAAAGAAGCAGCAUAAAAAGACUUCGGGGGGAAAAAAAAGACCUCCAAAGUGGAAUUUAGGCAGAAA